AAAUUAUCAUAAAUUUAUAAAUUUAAUAAUUAAAAUUAAAAUUUCAUAAUUUUUUAUAAAGUCAAAAAUAAUUUUUUGAUUUUAAAGAUCGAUGCUAAAAAUCGAAACAAUAUUCUUGGCAAUAUGUGAACAAGAAUAAUUCUGCACUACUACUUUACACUUGUUUGAUCGAAUCUAACAAGGAUGGCUCCGAUACCACUAUUGAAUUCUGACCACAC
rnacentral:lncRNA from 1 species